UCCUACGGGGGGCAGCAGUGGGGAAUAUUGGACAAUGGGCGAAAGCCUGAUCCAGCCAUGCCGCGUGUGUGAAGAAGGUCUUCGGAUUGUAAAGCACUUUAAGUUGGGAGGAAGGGCAGUAAGUUAAUACCUUGCUGUUUUGACGUUACCAACAGAAUAAGCACCGGCUAACUUCGUGCCAGCAGCCGCGGUAAUACGAAGGGUGCAAGCGUUAAUCGGAAUUACUGGGCGUAAAGCGCGCGUAGGUGGUUCAGCAAGUUGGAUGUGAAAUCCCCGGGCUCAACCUGGGAACUGCAUCCAAAACUACUGAGCUAGAGUACGGUAGAGGGUGGUGGAAUUUCCUGUGUAGCGGUGAAAUGCGUAGAUAUAGGAAGGAACACCAGUGGCGAAGGCGACCACCUGGACUGAUACUGACACUGAGGUGCGAAAGCGUGGGGAGCAAACAGGAUUAGAUACCCCGGUAGC
rnacentral:rRNA from 1 species